rnacentral:rRNA from 1 species
ACGCUGGCGGCGUGCUUAACACAUGCAAGUCGAACGAAGAGCGAUGGAAGCUUGCUUCUAUCAAUCUUAGUGGCGAACGGGUGAGUAACGCGUAAUCAACCUGCCCUUCAGAGGGGGACAACAGUUGGAAACGACUGCUAAUACCGCAUACGAUCCAAUCUCGGCAUCGAGACUGGAUGAAAGGUGGCCUCUAUUUAUAAGCUAUCACUGAAGGAGGGGAUUGCGUCUGAUUAGCUAGUUGGAGGGGUAACGGCCCACCAAGGCGAUGAUCAGUAGCCGGUCUGAGAGGAUGAACGGCCACAUUGGGACCGAGACACGGCCCAGACUCCUACGGGAGGCAGCAGUGGGGAAUCUUCCGCAAUGGACGAAAGUCUGACGGAGCAACGCCGCGUGAGUGAUGACGGCCUUCGGGUUGUAAAGCUCUGUUAAUCGGGACGAAUGGUUCUUGUGCAAAUAGUGCGAGGAUUUGACGGUACCGGAAUAGAAAGCCGCGGCUAACUACGUGCCAGCAGCCGCGGUAAUACGUAGGUGGCAAGCGUUGUCCGGAAUUAUUGGGCGUAAAGCGCGCGCAGGCGGAUUGGUCAGUCUGUCUUAAAAGUUCGGGGCUUAACCCCGUGAUGGGAUGGAAACUGCCAAUCUAGAGUAUCGGAGAGGAAAGUGGAAUUCCUAGUGUAGCGGUGAAAUGCGUAGAUAUUAGGAAGAACACCAGUGGCGAAGGCGACUUUCUGGACGAAAACUGACGCUGAGGCGCGUAAGCCAGGGGAGCGAACGGGAUUAGAUACCCCGGUAGUCCUGGCCGUAAACGAUGGGUACUAGGUGUAGGAGGUAUCGACCCCUUCUGUGCCGGAGUUAACGCAAUAAGUACCCCGCCUGGGGAGUACGACCGCAAGGUUGAAACUCAAAGGAAUUGACGGGGG